rnacentral:lncRNA from 1 species
GCAGGGCGUGGGGCUUGGUGCGGAGCCUGGGCGCAGCGAGUGCCGCUGGGGAUGGCGGAGACGGAGCUGGGCUUGUGUGGUCGGGAGGGUCAGGAGAGAAGUUGGGAAAUGGGAAGUUUUUUCCUACUGCAUCAAGUUAUGACAGCUAAAUCCACGUUUAAUUAAGUUAGAAAAACAGAGUGCCUGAGUCCCAGUGCACCUGCUGGUAGACCUGUCUCAAAGCCCUGGCAUUUUCUGUAAAGGAGUGUGAAGAAUGACUGAAGCGUUAAAUAAGGACAUCAAUUACACAGUCCAAAACAUGACAUCGUCACAGAGGCUUAACCUUGGACGUCAUUUUACUAUAUCGGGCAGCAUGUGGUCAGCACGAUUGUUUUGGAAGGCAAAACACAGAGUUAUUCCAAUGUCCUGGCUGCACACAAGGGCAUGG